UGCGGCAUAGCUCAGUGGUAGAGUGUGUGCUUAAUAUGAGCAUGCACGAGGUCCUGGGUUCAAUCCCCAGUCCCUCCA
rnacentral:tRNA from 1 species